UCACCCCCUUUCUCCCGACCCGCCUCCUCAUCCCUUCCUCCCGACCCUAGGUGGCGGCGGCGGACCUUAGUCCAGUCCUAGCGGCGGCGGUGGCUACUCAUGGUUAUGGAUGGCGGCGGCGAUACGGAUGGGGACGGCGCUGCGGAGGAUGGCCAGGGCGCGGCCGCGGAGGGGUCAAACCUAGGCGCUGAUGUGGAUCCGACAUUGGUGGAGAAUGGCGACGGCAGGGCUGCGGCUAGGUGCGGCCAGGGCGAGGCUCCAGAAGCAAAGGGGUCGGGCCAGCGCACGGCUACAGAUGGAGACAACACGGCUUUGGCAGGUGACCAGGGCACGGCUACAACGGGCUCGGGCCAGGGUGUUGCAUUGGCCAGGGGCUCAACCGCCGGCGUGGGUGGAGAAUCAGGCGAGGCAUGGCUGGGUCGACCCCGGAAGGAGCUGCUGGGUCAGGCAAGGGAAAGGCUAGGUCGACCACGGAAGGAGCUACAUGGGCAUGUCCAGUCCGAAUGAAAGAGUUCAAGUUGGCACUUUCUCAGCAUGCAAUCAAACAUGAAUUUGAGUAUGACACCGAGUAUAGUACACCUCAUCGGUUUAGGGGCUAUUGUUCAAGACGGGAUGCAGAUAAUUGUCCAUGGAGGAUACAUGCUUCUAUGACGGAGCAUAAGUGUACGUAAUGGUGAAGAAAAACCCAUGUGGUCAUGAUUGCUCUAGUGCAUGAAGGAAAAAGAAGACAAAGAAUGGAACCAAGCAUUGGGUAUGUGAUAAGGUGAAGGAUUGCCUGAUUGAAGAUGCUACUCUCAGAGCGAAGGCAAUGCAGAAGAUGAUUAAAGAACACCACAAGGUUGGCCUCCACUACAAGAGAGUAUAUAUGGGUAAGAAGCUAGCUUUGAAAGAACUAUAUGGUGAUUGGGAUAGUAGCCUUGAUAAUUUGUAUAGGUUUAAAGCACAAGUUGAAAUCUCUUGCCCUGGUAGCAUAGUUUAGAUUGAUCAUUACACUAUAAAAGAAAAAAUCAGGUUUAGAAGGUUC